rnacentral:rRNA from 1 species
CCUUUUGCAUCAUGAUUUAGCUAGAAAUCCUCAAGCACAGAGCACUUUAGUUUGACUCCCCGAAACUACGUGAGCUACUCCAAGACAGCCUAAUAUAGGGCACACCCGUCUCUGUUGCAAAAGAGUGGGAAGAUCUUCGAGUAGAGGUGACAUGCCAAUCGAACCUAGUUAUAGCUGGUUGCCUGAGAAAUGGAUAUUAGUUCAGCCUUCCGGCUUCUCCCCUCACACCUGUCCUCCUUCCCCUUAGACAACCAAGAGAAACCGAAAGAGUUAGUCAAAGGGGGUACAGCCCCUUUGACAUAAGACACAACUUUCACAGGAGGAUAAAGAUCAUAAUUCACAACGCAAGGUAAAGUGUUUCGGUGGGCCUAAAAGCAGCCA